CCUACGGGAGGCAGCAGUGGGGAAUAUUGGACAAUGGGGGCAACCCUGAUCCAGCCAUGCCGCGUGUGUGAAGAAGGCCCUCGGGUUGUAAAGCACUUUCAGUGAGGAAGAACGCCUGGUGGUUAAUACCCAUCAGGAAAGACAUCACUCACAGAAGAAGCACCGGCUAACUCCGUGCCAGCAGCCGCGGUAAUACGGAGGGUGCGAGCGUUAAUCGGAAUUACUGGGCGUAAAGCGCGCGUAGGUGGCUUGAUAAGCCGGUUGUGAAAGCCCCGGGCUCAACCUGGGAACGGCAUCCGGAACUGUCAAGCUAGAGUGCAGGAGAGGAAGGUAGAAUUCCCGGUGUAGCGGUGAAAUGCGUGGAGAUCGGGAGGAAUACCAGUGGCGAAGGCGGCCUUCUGGACUGACACUGACACUGAGGUGCGAAAGCGUGGGUAGCAAACAGGAUUAGAUACCCUAGUAGUC
rnacentral:rRNA from 1 species